rnacentral:rRNA from 1 species
AUUCAACGCUGGCGGCGUGCUUAACACAUGCAAGUCGAUCGGUAACAGGUGUAGCAAUACAUGCUGACGAGAGGCGGACGGGUGAGGAAUAUUUGGGAAUCUGCCCAUCAGCGGGGGACAACCCGGGGAAACCCGGGCUAAUACCGCAUACGCUCUACGGAGGAAAGCCGGGGACCGCAAGGCCUGGCACUGAUGGAUGGGCCCAAAUCGGAUUAGCUAGUUGGCGGGGUAACGGCCCACCAAGGCGACGAUCCGUAGCUGGUCUGAGAGGACGAUCAGCCACACCGGAACUGAGACACGGUCCGGACUCCUACGGGAGGCAGCAGUGGGGAAGAUUGGACAAUGGGGGAAACCCUGAUCCAGCGACGCCGCGUGGGUGAAGAAGGCCUGCGGGUUGUAAAGCCCUUUCGGUAGGGACGAAAGCUCUUGCUCUAAUAAUGCAAGAGGUUGACUUAACCUACAUAAGAAGCACCGGCUAACUCUGUGCCAGCCGCCGCGGUAA